GCGGAUGUGGUGGAAUUGGUAGACGCGCCGGAUUCAAAAUCCGGUUCCUUCGGGAGUGAGAGUUCGAGUCUCUCCAUCCGCACCA
rnacentral:tRNA from 1 species